GGGGUUGUGGCUCAGUGGUAGAGCACUCGCCUCACACAUGUGCGGCUCUGGGUUAGAUCCUCAGCACCA
rnacentral:tRNA from 1 species